rnacentral:rRNA from 1 species
AAAUUGAAGAGUUUGAUCAUGGCUCAGAUUGAACGCUGGCGGCAGGCCUAACACAUGCAAGUCGAACGGUAACAGGAAGCAGCUUGCUGCUUCGCUGACGAGUGGCGGACGGGUGAGUAAUGUCUGGGAAACUGCCUGAUGGAGGGGGAUAACUACUGGAAACGGUAGCUAAUACCGCAUAACGUCGCAAGACCAAAGAGGGGGACCUUCGGGCCUCUUGCCAUCGGAUGUGCCCAGAUGGGAUUAGCUAGUAGGUGGGGUAACGGCUCACCUAGGCGACGAUCCCUAGCUGGUCUGAGAGGAUGACCAGCCACACUGGAACUGAGACACGGUCCAGACUCCUACGGGAGGCAGCAGUGGGGAAUAUUGCACAAUGGGCGCAAGCCUGAUG